GGUUACUAACUACAUUAGAUUUUCAUAUCAGAGGUUAUGAAGAGUUCUGUUUUCUGAGAUAUAACGUCGUGUACGUGGUCGUGUAGUAGCUCACUAAGAGUCAAUGGCGUUUCGGAGGAACAUGUCGCCUCAGUCUUCAGGGUCAAAGACUAAGCCAAGCAUGAAACCGGCGAGAAGCUGGUAUCUGGCUUAUUCAUCGUCCCUGAAGAUGGAGGCAAGAUGUUCCUCCGAGACGUCCAUUGACUUUAAAGGGACAAUACGUCUUUACAUCUCAGAAGAUAAAAAUAAGAUACAGGUGGUGUUAGGCUGAGAAGCCCAUCUUGCCGACAGCUACAGUUUUACAGUAAAACUUAAAAAGUUGUCCCUGCGCUUAACUAAUUAAGCAUGGAUGUGGAAGUAUAGAUCCACAUUUUCUUGACAUUGGCACUAAUUGGAGGUCUUCAUGUUUUCAUUGAAUUGGUUGCUGCCGUCGGGAAUUGCCUCGACUUCUUCACCCUCCUUGAAGGAAAUGCUUCCAUUAACCAAGAGGGUUAGAUAGGAAAACGACAUUCAAGAAAUCUGACGUCCUUUGCUAUCAGAUGCCAGCCAGUUCUGUGUCUACAUAGCAAGUGCAGAUCCAAGGGUCACAGGCUCCAUCCCACUCAGGCAAGGAUAUGUUUUAAUUACAGAGUUGAAAGAAUUGAAGUGCUGUAAAAACCUAGAAUACAUAUGUUUUCUGAACUUUACCUGAAGUAAAACAAUGUUUUGAGUUCUUUAAAGCCCAGGAAUUAAUAUCACCUACUCCAUUAUAAGUGAAAUUACUAUUUCCUUCAAAGCCUUCAAGAUAUUGUACAAUUAGUUCUAACAUACAAUAAACCAUUGUUAACUAGCUGAAUGAAAUAUAGUAUCCAGCAUAGGAUGCAGUAUUGCACUUGAAUAUUCUUUCCAUUCAUUUCAGUCAAACAGGACAGGAUGCAUAGUUGCUGCCAACAAUCUACAAGCUUGGUCUAGAUUCAGUAACUGAAGGCAAGGGUGAGAGGGGACUGAAAACUGGUUUUGUACAACUCAACACACAAAGUGAUUACUGAUUGUAGCUAUGUGCCAUGUUCACAGAUUAGUGGCAGCAACUGUAAUAUUGCACAGGUUCCUGAGCCAUUAUAAUAUGAGUUCAACUUCAAUAUUAACAUUUUAUCUGCAAUACUCCCUGUGCAUGCAAUAUAUCUUUUAUAUUUAAGCCUUCAAUUUAGUGAUAAGAAAUGGUCAUGGACAGACACAGAGAGGUAUUCUUAUAGGAACAUGUGCUACAGAUAUUUUAUCACCUCAGUUAAGACACUGACAAGAAGCAAUAGAAAAAUAGAUCCUAAUACAACAAGCAUUCCAUCCAUAUUGUGAAUGGUAAAGACAGUAAAGAUUCUACAUUUUCCUUUCCGUUCGUUACAUAUGUACAACCCUCAGGCAAAGCCUAUAAUUACACUGAACGAGGCAUGUUACACGAAUCUGUUUCUCCAUUCCACUAACUUUUCCUUGUUAAAGCAUUCAUAUAAAACAAAAUAUAUGCUUACAUAAUGGUCUAAAGAUGGGUAGAUAACAUAAAACACAAUACUGGGUUAUUAUAUAAAACGUUUGGGUGCUGUGCACAAGUCUGUUCAUAUUACACGAACUUGAGCAGGGCCAUUACAGCUAUAAAUGGUGGCUCUAGCAUAUAACAAUAAAUGUAAAAGAUAGUGCCAUAUGCUUAUCAAAAUAUCAAUCAUAGGUCCACAUCUCUGGUCUGGAAGAUCUACAACAAUCUAACCAAUUUCCUAGGAUCAUUCACUAUAUACAUAACAGCUACAAUCUGAGACAAAAAUAUUUAUGGAGUUCUUAGUACCUCAUUCAGCAAAAACGUUGACUUCUUGCAUACUUUAAGGCACCUUAUCUCAUGGACUCUGGAUCACUUUGCAUGAAUAAUGCAGAACAUAACAUCAGUCAACUACAAUUUAUUCCUUUCAAGUGAGCAGAAAAAAUAAGCAUAAGCCAUAUUUUGUAUUAUCUACUAGUGAAAACCUAUGAAUCUACAACAGACAUGUGCUGUUGUGUUCAAACAAAGACUUAAUUUCUAUGAGAACCACAUAUGGUGUCAGAAAUCUUUGUAUUACUCUUUUAAUAUGUUUUCCCCCAACCUAUUAGGAAAAGGAAUUACAUAUAAUACUGAAGAGAUUUAAGAGUUCAGUCUUCUGAGACCUAACACCCUUAGUCCAGUGACAGUUACUACUGACAUUUUGGAUAUAUCACCUCCAUCCUCAGGUCAAAGAGUAAGCCAAACAGGAAACCAUCAUGAAGCAAGCAGCAUGCAGAUCUCUGCUUGAUGCUAAUUUCUUGUUUGGCUUACUCUUCUACCCUGAAGAUGGAGACAAUAUAUUCCUCCAAAAGAUCAGUUGACUUUCA